rnacentral:rRNA from 1 species
AGAGUUUGAUCCUGGCUCAGGAUGAACGCUGGCGGCGUGCUUAACACAUGCAAGUCGAACGGAACUGUCAUUUUUGAAGCAAUUAGCUUGCUAAGGGUGGAAAUGUUGGCAGUUUAGUGGCGGACGGGUGAGUAACGCGUGGGUAACCUGCCUUACACAGGGGGAUAACACCUGGAAACAGGUGCUAAUACCGCAUAACAGGAAGAGGCGCAUGCCACUUUCUUGAAAACUCCGGUGGUGUAAGAUGGACCCGCGUCUGAUUAGCUGGUUGGCGGGGUAACGGCCCACCAAGGCGACGAUCAGUAGCCGGCCUGAGAGGGUGGACGGCCACAUUGGGACUGAGACACGGCCCAAACUCCUACGGGAGGCAGCAGUGGGGAAUAUUGGACAAUGGGGGGAGCCCUGAUCCAGCGACGCCGCGUGAGUGAAGAAGUAUUUCGGUAUGUAAAGCUCUAUCAGCAGGGAAGAAAGAAAUGACGGUACCUGACUAAGAAGCCCCGGCUAACUACGUG